GCGAGGUGGCGCGCGGAGGGCCGGGAAUGCCCGCGGCGCGGAGGCCGAGCCGCCCGGUGGCAGCGUCCGGGCAAUGGCUCUCCGUCUGGUCUCCGACUUCGACCUCCGGAAGGACGUGCUCCCGUGGCUGCGGUCGCAGCGGGCGGCGUCAGCGGCCGCCGGGGCGCGAGGCGGCGGCCCAGGUGUUUUGGAAAAUAAUUAUGAGAGCUUACGUAUACUAAAUGUUGAAAGAAAUGGAGAUAUUAUUUAUACCUAUAAGGAUGAUAAGGGAAAUGUCUUCUUUGGAUUAUAUGACUGCCGAACCAGACAAAAUGAGCAUCUCUAUACAUUUGAGAAAGACUUGCACGUUGUCAGUUGCUCUGUCAACAGUGAGAGAACUUUGCUUGCUGCAAGUUUAGUUCAUUUUACUAAGGAAGGAAGAAAGAAUGAGCUUCAACCAGGAUCAAAGUGUUUAACUUUGUUGGUUGAAAUCCACCCUGUUAACAAUGUGAAGGUUCUAAAAGCCGUGGAUAGCUAUAUUUGGGUGCAGUUUCUCUACCCCCAUGUGGAAAGUCACCCUCUUGCAGAGAACCAUCUGUUACUGAUUUCAGAAGAGAAAUAUAUUGAGAACAUUCAUAUCCAGGUCAUCCAAGAAGAUGGAAAUAGAGUGGUACUUAAAGACUCUGGCCAUCUCCCAAGAGAGAGAGUAGCUGAGGAUUUUGUUUGGGCUCAAUGGGAUAUGUCAGAGCAGAGAUUGUACUACAUUGACCUGAAGAAAUCAAGGAGUGUCUUAAAAUGCAUCCAGUUUUCUGCUGAUGAGAAGUUUAACUUAAUGUUUGAAGCACCCUUGGAUAUAACAUUAAGUGACUCAGGAUUUAAACUUGUAAACUUUGGAUGUGAUGAUCUUCAAGACCAAGAGAACUUAUCCAAACACCUGACCCUGUGCGUUUUUACCAACCAUACAGGAACUUUGUGUGUAUGUUACAGUCCGAAGUUUGACUCUUGGGAAAAAAUCACAUAUUCAGUGUUUUACUUUCAUAAAGGGCACAGCAAGACCUUCACUGCUGCUCUUGGGAGUGUUGACUCACAUGUGACUAAGGGCCUUACUUUUCUCAACCUUGAUUAUUACGUGGCUGUUUACUUACCUGGUCAUUUCUUUCAUCUACUUAACAUCCAACAUCCGGAACUGAUCUGCCACAGUUUGUUUCUGACAGGAAACAAUGAAGUGGUUGAUAUGCUACCUCAUAGUCCUUUACAGUCACUCUCAGGGUCCCUGGUACUGGAUUGGUGUUCUGGAAAGCUCUCCAGGGCGGUCCUCAACCAGUCGUACUUACUACAGUUCCUAUGGAACACGCGGCUAGACUAUGAGAAGAUGGGCGCAUUGCACUGUGUGCUCUCCUGGGGCCAAGACCACCCGUUCCUGGAAGCCAAGAUUAUUCAGUGGAUUUCUGAGAACAUCUCUGCCUGCCAUUCAUUUGACCUCAUUCAGGAAUUUAUAAUUGCUUCUUCGUAUUGGAGCAUAUACCCAGAGACAAGCGACAUGGAUAAACUUUUGCCAUAUUCCUCAGUGCUCGCUUGGAAUACAGAAAUUCCUGGAAUAACCCUUGUGACGGAAGAGAUCCCAUUGCCUUUCAUGAAGGUGCACAGCUUUAAGGGCUACUGGGAAAAACUGAACUCCAACCUGGAAUACAUUAAGUACUCCAAGCCACACUUGCUCUAUAACAACAGCAUGGUCCAGAGAGAAUGGCAUAGCCUGAUCUCAGAAGAGAAAACAGGAAGAAGAAGGUCCAUGGUGUAUGUGAGGAAUAUUCUUGAUAAUGCAAUGAAGGUGAUUUCUAACCUAGAAGCAAGGAAUUUGGAGCCAAGAUUAACACCCCUCUUCCGGGAGGAAGACAACCCCCAGAGGCUGCUGAUGGGACUGAUGGUGUCUGAGCUAAAAGACCAUCUUUUGAGACACCUACAGGGUGUAGAAAAGAAGAAAAUUGAACAGAUGGUUCUGGACUACAUUUCGAAACUGCUGGAUCUCAUUUGCCAAAUCCUGGAGACCAGCUGGAGGAAACAUCAUCUUCACCCCUCCGUUCUCCACUUCAGCAGGCGGGCCAGUGCUGCUGAAUUUACAGUCUUCCACAUCAUGACCAGGAUUCUGAAAGCGACUACGAGUUUGUUUUUACCUCUGCCUCCUGGUUUUCACACUCUGCACACGCUCCUCGGCGUGCACUGUCUCCCUUUGCAUAACCUGCUGCAUUACAUUGAUGAUGGGGUGUUGCUUCUCACCGAAACGGCUGUCACAAGGCUCAUGAAAGGUGCCUUCUGUUUUCACUUCGUAAAAUUGUUUUGUGAAUGGAAGCCUGUUACAGCACCAUGUUCCAUGCCAUAUAGAAACUGCUUCAUUAAGAGAAAGCCCUUGUAUUCAGACAACAAACCAAAAUUUUCAAGAUCUGGACAACUCAGAGAAAAAUGAAAAACUAAAAUUCAGCAUCAUUGUGCGGCUUCCUCCGCUUAUUGGUCAGAAGAUCUGCCGACUUUGGGAUCAUCCUAUGAGUUCUAACAUCAUUUCCCGGAACCAUGUGAAGCGACUGCUGCUAAACUAUAAGAAACAGCCCCGGAGUUCUAUGAUUGACAAGUCGCCAGGCAGUGUGGAGUUCCUGCCCCUGAACUACUUCAUUGAAAUACUGACAGAUAGAGAAUCUUCCAGUCAAGCUCUGUAUGCUCUUGAAGGACAUGACAAUGUGGAUGCAAAAUUUGUAGAGGAAGCAGCUCUGAAACACACCACGAUGCUUUUAGGCUUAUGAAAGAGAAAAUGCAGUUGUAUCCGCUCCCAGUAUUUUAAUCUUGCGCAUUAGCUUGACCUCCGUCAAGAGUCCUUUACAAUUCUUUAAAAUUGGUAACCAAAAUCAGAAUACAUUGUUAAGCCAUCUGAAUUCCAGUUUGGUACUUGUUCAGACAGAACUAAAUUGCUCUACCUCACCCCAGCUUUGAAAAGGAGACAAGCAGUCAAGUGGGGAGGAGGGGCACAACAGUCUGAGAGGGGCGCUGUGUCCUCAGGGAUGACUCAGUGGCUUACCUUCCUCAUGGCUCCACGGGCCAAAAGCGAGUUUGUAUUGCACUCUGAAAUAAAAUUACGCUUUAAAAAAUGCAGGGGACGGUGCUAAGAAAAAAACUAGAUGUGUUGUUGAAGGUAACAUAUGACAAGCAGAAAAAUUAGUUACAGAAGCACUCUAUUUGGAAAGAGGAUACUUUUCAAAGAACUGAAUUUGGACCGGGUCAAACCUGCUAUUUCCAGUAGAGAAUAAUUUGUCAUACGCAGCAGUGUGUACAUAGCGGUAUUGAGAGUAGGAUUUGUCUUUGUGAUUGUUCAGAUGGAACUGUACUUUAAUAUGUUCAAGUUUUUUGUAUUUAUAAAAGUUUGACUUAGUAAUAUCUUUUCAUUAAAAAAAGAAGAAGAAACA